rnacentral:rRNA from 1 species
GAACGCGAAGAACCUUACCAGGUCUUGACAUCCCUCUGACCGCUCUAGAGAUAGAGCUUUCCUUCGGGACAGAGGUGACAGGUGGUGCAUGGUUGUCGUCAGCUCGUGUCGUGAGAUGUUGGGUUAAGUCCCGCAACGAGCGCAACCCCUAUUGUUAGUUGCCAUCAUUCAGUUGGGCACUCUAGCGAGACUGCCGGUAAUAAACCGGAGGAAGGUGGGGAUGACGUCAAAUCAUCAUGCCCCUUAUGACCUGGGCUACACACGUGCUACAAUGGCUGGUACAACGAGUCGCAAGCCGGUGACGGCAAGCUAAUCUCUUAAAGCCAGUCUCAGUUCGGAUUGUAGGCUGCAACUCGCCUACAUGAAGUCGGAAUCGCUAGUAAUCGCGGAUCAGCACGCCGCGGUGAAUACGUUCCCGGGUCUUGUACACACC